ensembl:lncRNA
AUUAACCCCAUCUUUUGGAGGCACAGGCAGCUAAAGCAACAUCACUGUUCAGCCCCAUAACAACAGCUCCUACUGUACCAUCAGCAUAUGCCCAAGCACACCUGUCAGGCGUUGGGUGGAAGAGGGAUGGAAGAGUGAAAAACUUCUUGUUACCACUGGGUGGAGCUGAAGCCCUUUUUGUUCAAGCUGCUCCUUUCAUAACUUCCUCCUCUUUCGUAGAGAAAAAAUGUGAACCGAGCUGUUUACAGAUCGAUGUGGAGAGCUCAUUAUACCGCUGACCUCAUUCUGCUGGAAGGGGAGCUGGCUCAGUCUACAGCCUAGUCUCUUGAAGGUCGGCCACGUGUGCAGUGGUAAUUUAGGAGGUCUCUGCCCCGACUUGUCUUCAUUGCCUCUCUCCCAGAGGGUGGCUGACGCAGAACAAAGCUUUUGGAUUUUACUACGGGGAAGCAUAAGUCAUCAGAAGCUCCUGUAUUAUACAGCUGAUACAUGCUUUUGCAGCCUCUUGAUGGUUUUUCUGAACAGUAGGAAGUGUUCUACAUUAUAGAAACCUCAUUUUUAGUUACCAAAACUAAGAUUAAGA